rnacentral:rRNA from 1 species
CGAACGCUGGCGGCAUGCCUCACACAUGCAAGUCGAACGAGACCUUCGGGUCUAGUGGCGCAGUGGUGCGUAACGCGUGGGAACCUGCCCUUAGGUUCGGAAUAACUCCCCGAAAGGGGUGCUAAUACCGGAUAAUGUCUUCGGACCAAAGAUUUAUCGCCUUUGGAUGGGCCCGCGUUGGAUUAGCUAGUUGGUAGGGUAAAAGCCUACCAAGGCGACGAUCCAUAGCUGGUCUGAGAGGAUGAUCAGCCACACUGGGACUGAGACACGGCCCAGACUCCUACGGGAGGCAGCAGUGGGGAAUAUUGGACAAUGGGCGAAAGCCUGAUCCAGCAAUGCCGCGUGAGUGAUGAAGGCCUUAGGGUUGUAAAGCUCUUUUACCCGGGAUGAUAAUGACAGUACCGGGAGAAUAAGCUCCGGCUAACUCCGUG